rnacentral:rRNA from 1 species
UCCGCCUGCCCUGUGACAAUGUUCUAACGGCCGCGGUAUUUUGACCGUGCAAAGGUAGCGUAAUCACUUGUCUUUUAAAUGAAGACCCGUAUGAAAGGCACCACGAGAGUUUGACUGUCUCUACUCUCUAAUCAAUGAAAUUGAUCUUCUCGUGCAGAAGCGAGUAUGAUAACAUAAGACGAGAAGACCCUAUGGAGCUUCAAAUACAUAAAUUAAUUAUGUACAUAUAUAAUAAUCCCAGGACAUAAACAAAAAAUAUAAUACUUCUAAUUUAACUAUUUUUGGUUGGGGUGACCAAGGGGAAAAAUGAAUCCCCCUUAUCGACCGAGUAUUCAAUACUUAAAAGUUAGAAUUACAAUUCUAACCGAUAAAAAUUUUAUCGAAAAAUGACCCAGGAUUUUUCCUGAUCAAUGAACCAAGUUACCCUAGGGAUAACAGCGCAAUCCUUUUUCAGAGUUCCUAUCGACAAAAGGGUUUACGACCUCGAUGUUGGAUCAGGACAUCCUAAUGGUGCAACCGCUAUUAAGGGUUCGUUUGUUCAACGAUUAAUAGUCCUACGUGAUUGA